rnacentral:misc_RNA from 1 species
GGAUGAAGAACGUAGCGAAAUGCGAUACUUGGUGUGAAUUGCAGAAUCCCGUGAACCAUCGAGUCUUUGAACGCAAGUUGCGCCCGAAGCCAUUAGGCCGAGGGCACGCCUGCCUGGGCGUCACACGUCGUUGCCCCCCCAUCUACUCCUUCGGGAUUGCGGGGGGCGGAUGAUGGCCUCUCGUGCGCCUCGUCGCGCGGUUGGCCUAAAUGCCAAGUCCUCGGCGACGCACGCCACGACAAUCGGUGGUUGCGAAACCUCGGUUGCCUGUCGUGUGCGGUCGUCGCGCAUCGAGGGCUCGAAAAAAUUGCCGGGCUUCGGCUCGACUUUCAACGCGACCCCAGGUCAGGCGGGGUUACCCGCUGAAUUUAAGCAUAUCAAUAAGCGGAGGA